UCAUGUUUAAUUAUUUCUCAAGCUGCCGUUCAGCUGAAGAGAAGAACAAUAAAGCAGUGGUUGCUGCUGUUGUCUUGAGUGAGUUAUGCCACUCCUCUCUACGGGAUCUGAACCAGUGAAGACCUUUUUUAUGCUGUUUUUUCCUGCACUGAUUUACAGUUUCUUCUCAUGACAAAUCUUUCAGAAGUGGCAGCACACAGAAAAUGGUACGUCAUGCAAAGAUGUCAAAUGCGCUGCUGACUGUCUUGCUCUUCUUAUUUCCAAUGCGGCUAUCAGGACAUUGGUUUCCCAAAACUUUACCCUGUGAUGUGGAAGCCUUUGAAGGUACUGUGAGAGUAGACUGCAGCGAUCGUCACCUCACGGAAGUCCCCAGAGGGAUCCCUGGAAACGCUACUAACCUGACCCUGACUAUUAACCGUAUCCCCCAUAUCUCUCCAGCAUCCUUUAUUCAGCUUGAAAACCUUGUGGAGAUUGACUUCAGAUGCAACUGCGUGCCUCCCAGACUGGGGCCCAAAGACAGUGUGUGCACCACACCACCAUCAAUUGAGAAUGGCAGUUUUGCCGCUCUGACAAGACUGAAGUCAUUGUAUUUGGAUGCAAACCAACUGUCAGAAAUACCCCAGGGUCUUCCUGCUAGUCUACGACUGCUGAGUCUGGAAGCAAACAAAAUUUUUUCUAUUAAAAAAAACACUUUUUCAGGGCUAAGAAAUAUAGAAUUACUGUAUCUGGGACAGAAUUGUUACUACCGUAAUCCGUGCAAUGUUUCUUUUGAAAUUGAAGAAACAGCCUUUCUGAAUCUGAAAAAUUUGACAGUACUCUCCCUGAAGUCUAACAACUUAACUUUUAUUCCACCCAACUUGUCUUCAACUUUAAAAGAAUUGUAUAUUUACAAUAACAGAAUUCAAGAGGUUCAGGAACAUGAUUUAAGUACCCUUCACAACCUAGAAAUUCUUGAUCUCAGUGGCAAUUGCCCACGUUGCUAUAAUGCCCCAUAUCCUUGUACUCCCUGCCCUAAUAUCUCAAUUAAGAUUCAUUCAAAGGCUUUUUAUUCCUUGAAAAAAUUAAGAAUUUUGAGGCUUCACAGUAACUCUCUUCGGAGUAUACCAAGCAGCUGGUUUAAAAACAUCAAGAAUCUCAAAGAUCUUGACCUCUCCCAAAACUUCCUCAUAAAGGAGAUUGGAGACGCUCAGUUUUUGAAGCUUAUCCCCAGUCUUGUAGAGCUGGAUCUGUCCUUUAAUUUUGAAUUGCAGAUGUAUUCUCCAUCCUUGAAUCUGUCUAAGACAUUUUCCUCCCUCUCUAACCUGGAAACCCUAAGAAUCAAGGGUUAUGUCUUUAAAGAACUGAGAGAAGGAAAUCUAGACCCAUUACUCGGUCUUAGAAAUCUGACAGUGUUGGAUCUUGGGACUAAUUUUAUUAAAAUUGCUGACCUAAGAGUGUUCAAGAAAUUCCAAGCUCUCAAAAUCAUAGAUCUCUCAGUGAAUAAAAUUUCUCCUUCUUCAGGUGAAAAUAACUUCUAUGGAUUUUGCUCUGAUCCCAGGAUUACAGUAGAGCAAUACAGCAGGCAAGUUUUACAAGAGAUGCAUUACUUUAGGUAUGAUGAGUAUGGUCGAAGUUGCAAGUCCAAAGACAAAGAGGCUGAUUCCUACCAACCUUCGGUCAAUGAAGAUUGCAUGAAUUAUGGAAAAACUCUAGAUUUAAGCAGAAACAACAUAUUUUUUGUUAACUCUGUAGACUUCCAGGAUCUUAGUUUCCUCAAAUGCCUCAACUUGUCAGGUAAUGCCAUAAGUCAAACUUUAAAUGGAAGCGAAUUCUGCUACCUGUCUGGAUUGAAAUAUCUGGAUUUUUCUAACAACAGGAUUGAUUUGCUAUACUCAACUGCUUUCAAAGAGCUGAAAUUUUUAGAAAUUCUAGAUCUGAGCAAUAACAAACAUUACUUUCUGGCAGAAGGUGUUAGUCAUGUGCUUAGUUUUAUGAAAAACUUGGCCUAUCUGAAGAAGCUGAUGAUGAAUGAGAAUGAGAUUUCUACCUCUAUUAGCAUGGGGAUGGAAAGUCAAUCUCUUAAAACUUUAGAAUUUCGGGGAAAUCGUUUAGAUAUUUUUUGGGCAGAUGGAAAGACUGAAUAUCUGUCAUUCUUCAAGAAUCUGACCAAACUGGAACAACUGGAUAUUUCCUCUAACAUGCUCAGCUUUUUACCUCCUGAUGUUUUUUCAGCUAUGCCUCCAGAACUCAAGAUACUGAACUUAACCAGUAACAGGUUGAAGACAUUCAAUUGGGGAAAACUCUACUUAUUGACCAGGCUAAUAACUCUGGACCUCAGCAAUAACCUUCUGACUACUGUUCCCCGAAAGCUGUCCAAUUGCACUUCAACUCUUCAAGAACUGAUACUCCGAAACAAUCGUAUUACACGGAUAACCAAAUAUUUUCUCAGAGGUGCCAUUACGUUGUCAUACUUGGACCUCAGCUCAAACAAGAUCCAAAUAAUUAAGAAAUCUAGCUUCCCUGAAAAUAUCAUAAACAACCUGAGGAUGCUGCUUUUGCACAACAAUCCUUUCAAGUGCAACUGUGAUGCAGUGUGGUUUGUUGGGUGGAUCAAUCAGACUGACGUGACAAUUCCUCUUCUGGCCACAGAUGUGACCUGUGCUGGCCCAGGGGCACACAAAGGAAGGAGCUUGGUUUUCCUGGAUCUGAAUACCUGUGAGCUGGACACAUCCUAUUUGAUCAUGUAUGCUUUAUCAACUUCAGCUGUCCUAAGUUUAAUAACGUUUGCAGUUAUGAGUCACCUCUAUUUCUGGGAUGUGUGGUAUAGCUAUCAUUACUGCACUGCCAAGUUGAAAGGCUAUAGACGUUUACCUUUACCAGAUGCCUGCUAUGAUGCUUUUAUUGCCUAUGACAAUACUGAUCUGGCUGUGAAUGAAUGGGUGAUGACAGAAUUGGUUGAAAAGCUGGAAGAUCAAAAAGCCAGACAGUUCAAUUUAUGCUUGGAAGAAAGAGACUGGCUUCCAGGACAGCCAGUCUUUGACAACCUUUCCCAGAGUAUUCAACUGAGCAAAAAGACCAUAUUUGUGCUGACCAACAAGUAUAUUAAAAGUGGCACUUUCAAGACAACAUUUUACAUGGCCCACCAACGACUUCUAGAUGAAAAAAUUGAUGUGAUUAUCUUGAUAUUUCUUGAGAAAGUAUUACAGAAGUCCCGAUAUGUUCGGCUGAGGAAGAGGCUGUGCAGAAGUUCUGUUCUGGAAUGGCCAACUAACCCUCGAUCUCAGCCUUACUUCUGGCAGUGUCUGAAAAAUGCCAUAGCUGUGAACAACACCCUGGCUUACAACAAACUUCUCCAGGAGACUGUUUAGCUUUACUGCUCCCUGUAAAAUACUGUUACUGUGUGUGGUGAGGAAAAGAUACUGAACUUGCUAUAGAGAAAAUGUGAAAGUGGAGAGGAUAAAUGUAAUUGUGAUAUGAUUCUCAAAAAUGAAAUGCACAAUCUGUUCCAAAGAUACUAAUUCAAUUGUUUCGCUAUGACAACAUUAAAUAUAAACUGUUGCCAGCACAGAUGCUUAGCUGAUGCACACCUCAUUUAACAUUUGCAGCAAGAGAAGAUGCAACAGAGUCACCACUCCCUGUUUCAGUUCAUUGGAGAACAUCUGACAUCACCUGGCUGGGUCAAGUGUGAGUGAGACAAUUGAUCAGCUCAAUCUAGUUCCCAAGAUGCUAUGAGGAGUUCAGUCAUGCUUGAGAUUGCUGCUGUUUGGAUCACUGUUGGAGUAAAUGUAAUUUUAAUAGAAAAAUAUUGUUAAUGCAUUUGUGUGUAUUUGUGAAAAUGGGAAAAAACACAAAAUGUUGAUUUCAGAAAAUACUUUAGGUGAAUUUCAUGUUUAGGAGUUGGGGAAAUGUAUGCAUGAUUAACUCUGCAACUCAGGCUUCCAUCUGCUGAGCCUACCAGUUCUGCUUGACGGGGCAACAGCGCUAGCCACUGGGGAGAUGAUAUGCUGGUGGAACUUAUGGCAGAAGCUUGGAUGAGGUAUGGGAGAUCUCCCAUUUCCCACUGCUGCAUUGUCACAAAGGUUGUAAAUCAGAAAAGAUUUUGAAGAACUUGCAUGUACCAAAAUGGGAAAGUGUGAGAGAAGAGAAACAAGUCAGAAGAGCUUGCAAGCUGUGGAUCAGGAGGAAUUACAACAUUAUUCUCACUCAUCACUUACUUAGAAUAUUUGAGAUCCACAGGUCUAUGUGGAAGAACUAUAUUCAGACAAGACUAUACUUUUGAACGUUGCAGCUCAAUGCUCCAUCCCACUCAUAAUAAAAUCUUAUAACUUAA